AAUAGGCCACACAACAAAGAACACGGAGGAGAAUGCUGGGGUUUGAUCUCAAUUUUCCCUUUAUUUCUCAGUUCUACUUUCCCUAGAGUUUUGUACAGAGGAAGAGUUUCGGCUACAUGAAUCAUGUCUAGCGAGGAGGCCUUGAAGACUCUAAGAGGGUGAGAUAAAGUAUCCCAAACAUUUCCAAAGCCAAACUGGAACUGCACACUGAUUAAUCUGCAGAGAGGCCAGCCUAAAGCUCCAACUCUUCAGAGCUAAUCAAGUGGAAACACAUUGGGGAAAUCCAGGUCAACUAUAAUUCCCAUCAUGACUAAGCAGCAUAAAGACUCUGACUACAGUGACCUAGAACUGACCUCAGGGAGAAAUCAGUCAAAACAGAAUCAUUCAUUUCCAGGAUUCUUGGUCACUCAAGAUCUCUCACAAGACUGCAGUCAAGGCCAGGGCUCCAGUCUCAUCUGAAGACUUGACUAAGUAGAAUUUGCUUCUAAGUUCGCUCACAUAAUUGUUGGCAAGAUUUACUUCCUUGUGGACUGUCAGAGGGAGGGUCUGGUUCCCUGCUGGCCAAAGGCAAUAGUCCUUCCUCAAGUCCUUGCCAUCGGGGUUCUCAUAAGGCAGUUCACAAUAUGAACUGUGUGUGCAUGUGUGUGUGUGUGUGUGUGUGUGAGAGAGAGAGAGAGAGAGAGAGAGAGAUGGGGGACAGGUAGGGAGGAAAAAAAGAGAAUGAGCAAGAUGGAAAUCACAGUCUUUUUGAAAUGUAGUCUUUAAUUUUUUCCCAUCUUUGUGUAUUUUAUUUAUUUAUUUGCCAUAUAAUGUAUUAUUUCAGGGGUACAGUGUAAUGUGCUCUUGAAAGCUACAUCCCAGCCCCUCUUUUGUAUUUUCUUUGUUGGAAGCAAAUCAUUAGAUCAAGGCUCUCCUGGGAUGACACAGAGAAUGAAUACCAGGAGGAAGGGAUCUCUGGGGGCCGUCUUGUAGAGGGUGCCUAUCUUUUUACUAUUGUUAUCACUUUUUAAAAAAUGUUUGAACAAGGUCAUCAUUGUUAGAAAAUUUAUCAUUUCUUUUUGUCCUUGAACUCAUAAUUCCAUUCUACGAAUUUCUCCUGAAUUUUGUUUUAAUCUAGUAUAUGUUUAUGCCUGGAAUUAUUUUAUUGAUUUCCUUAUCAUACAUCAC
rnacentral:lncRNA from 1 species